rnacentral:rRNA from 1 species
UACGUAGGGUGCGAGCGUUGUCCGGAUUUAUUGGGCGUAAAGGGCUCGUAGGCGGCGUGUCGCGUCGGGAGUGAAAGCCCGUUGCUUAACGGCGGGUUGGCUUUCGGUACGGGCAUGCUGGAGUGCGGCAGGGGAGACUGGAAUUCCUGGUGUAGCGGUGAAAUGCGCAGAUAUCAGGAGGAACACCGGUGGCGAAGGCGGGUCUCUGGGCCGUAACUGACGCUGAGGAGCGAAAGCGUGGGGAGCGAACAGG